UGGGGAAUAUUGGACAAUGGGCGAAAGCCUGAUCCAGCCAUGCCGCGUGGAUGAUGAAGGCCUUAGGGUUGUAAAGCACUUUAGUUGUUGAGGAAGGUUGUGUGGUGAAUACCCGCAUGACUUGACGGUAAACAAAGAAUAAGCACCGGCUAACUCUGUGCCAGCAGCCGCGGUAAUACAGAGGGUGCAAGCGUUAAUCGGAAUGACUGGGCGUAAAGGGCGCGUAGGUGGACAUAUAAGUAAAUUGUGAAAGACCCGGGCUUAACCUGGGAAGUUCAAUUUAAACGGUAUGUCUGGAGUGGAGUAGAGGGAAGUAGAAUUUCCGGUGUAGCGGUGAAAUGCGUAGAUAUCGGAAGGAAUACCGGUGGCGAAGGCGUCUUCCUGGACUCUAACUGACACUGAGGCGCGAAAGCAUGGGGAUCAAACAGGAUUAGAUACCCUCGUAGUCCCUGAGCGGGCUGGCAAGGCGCAU
rnacentral:rRNA from 1 species